AACGAACGCUGGCGGCAUGCCUAACACAUGCAAGUCGAACGAUUGCCUUCGGGUGAUAGUGGCGCACGGGUGCGUAACGCGUGGGAAUCUGCCCUUAGGUUCGGAAUAACAGCUGGAAACGGCUGCUAAUACCGGAUGAUAUCGCGAGAUCAAAGAUUUAUCGCCUGAGGAUGAGCCCGCGUUGGAUUAGGUAGUUGGUGGGGUAAAGGCCUACCAAGCCGACGAUCCAUAGCUGGUCUGAGAGGAUGAUCAGCCACACUGGGACUGAGACACGGCCCAGACUCCUACGGGAGGCAGCAGUGGGGAAUAUUGGACAAUGGGCGCAAGCCUGAUCCAGCAAUGCCGUGUGAGUGGUGAAGGCCCUAGGGUUGUAAAGCUCUUUUACCCGGGAAGAUAAUGACUGUACCGGGAGAAUAAGCCCCGGCUAACUCCGUG
rnacentral:rRNA from 1 species